rnacentral:rRNA from 1 species
CUCAGAUUGAACGCUGGCGGCAGGCCUAACACAUGCAAGUCGAGCGGUAGCACAGAGAGCUUGCUCUCGGGUGACGAGCGGCGGACGGGUGAGUAAUGUCUGGGAAACUGCCUGAUGGAGGGGGAUAACUACUGGAAACGGUAGCUAAUACCGCAUAAUGUCGCAAGACCAAAGUGGGGGACCUUCGGGCCUCAUGCCAUCAGAUGUGCCCAGAUGGGAUUAGCUAGUAGGUGGGGUAACGGCUCACCUAGGCGACGAUCCCUAGCUGGUCUGAGAGGAUGACCAGCCACACUGGAACUGAGACACGGUCCAGACUCCUACGGGAGGCAGCAGUGGGGAAUAUUGCACAAUGGGCGCAAGCCUGAUGCAGCCAUGCCGCGUGUGUGAAGAAGGCCUUCGGGUUGUAAAGCACUUUCAGCGGGGAGGAAGGCGNUAAGGUUAAUAACCUNGNCGAUUGACGUUACCCGCAGAAGAAGCACCGGCUAACUCCGUGCCAGCAGCCGCGGUAAUACGGAGGGUGCAAGCGUUAAUCGGAAUUACUGGGCGUAAAGCGCACGCAGGCGGUCUGUCAAGUCGGAUGUGAAAUCCCCGGGCUCAACCUGGGAACUGCAUUCGAAACUGGCAGGCUAGAGUCUUGUAGAGGGGGGUAGAAUUCCAGGUGUAGCGGUGAAAUGCGUAGAGAUCUGGAGGAAUACCGGUGGCGAAGGCGGCCCCCUGGACAAAGACUGACGCUCAGGUGCGAAAGCGUGGGGAGCAAACAGGAUUAGAUACCCUGGUAGUCCACGCCGUAAACGAUGUCGAUUUGGAGGUUGUGCCCUUGAGGCGUGGCUUCCGGAGCUAACGCGUUAAAUCGACCGCCUGGGGAGUACGGCCGCAAGGUUAAAACUCAAAUGAAUUGACGGGGGCCCGCACAAGCGGUGGAGCAUGUGGUUUAAUUCGAUGCAACGCGAAGAACCUUACCUGGUCUUGACAUCCACAGAACUUNNCAGAGAUGNNUUGGUGCCUUCGGGAACUGUGAGACAGGUGCUGCAUGGCUGUCGUCAGCUCGUGUUGUGAAAUGUUGGGUUAAGUCCCGCAACGAGCGCAACCCUUAUCCUUUGUUGCCAGCGGUNNGGCCGGGAACUCAAAGGAGACUGCCAGUGAUAAACUGGAGGAAGGUGGGGAUGACGUCAAGUCAUCAUGGCCCUUACGACCAGGGCUACACACGUGCUACAAUGGCAUAUACAAAGAGAAGCGACCUCGCGAGAGCAAGCGGACCUCAUAAAGUAUGUCGUAGUCCGGAUUGGAGUCUGCAACUCGACUCCAUGAAGUCGGAAUCGCUAGUAAUCGUAGAUCAGAAUGCUACGGUGAAUACGUUCCCGGGCCUUGUACACACCGCCCGUCACACCAUGGGAGUGGGUUGCAAAAGAAGUAGGUAGCUUAACCUUCGGGAGGGCGCUUACCACUUUGUGAUUCAUGACUGGGGUGAAGUCG